rnacentral:rRNA from 1 species
GACGAACGCUGGCGGCGUGCUUAACACAUGCAAGUCGAACGAGAAGCCGCCUUCUGUCAGUGGUACGCGGCGGACGGGCGAGUAAUUUGCACGAGAUCAGCCUUUCCUAGAGGGUCAACAGACUGAAACUAACGCUAAUACCUCACAUGUACGUACUUCUACUGCUUUUCUUGAAUACUCCGGUGCCGAUAGUUGUGCCUGCACCUGAUUAGCUUGUUGGUAUUGUUGUGGUCAACCAAGACCAAGAUUAGUAGCUGUAUCGGGAGAAGGAUCAGCCACGAUGGGACAGAGACACGACCCUGACUCCUACGGGAGGCAUCAGUAAGGAAGUAUGCGCAGUGGACGAAAGACUGAGGCACCAACGCCGCGUGAACAAUUACGCCCUGCGGUGUAUAGAGUUCUGUCAGGAAGGACGAAACUUGACGGUACCCAGAGAAGAAGCACCGGCUAACUCCGUG